rnacentral:miRNA from 1 species
AAAAUAAUAAUCCCAAGAAUACCGAUAUAUACAGUUUUUUUUAAUAAGAUAUAUACAAUUUUAUUAAAGGUCUUGUUUGCAUUCUUUGUUUCCGUUAUUUCCACAUGCUCCUAUGAAAAUUUUCAUGCGUUGUCAUAAACCUCUUCAAUGGAGCAUGUGGCAACAAAGGAAAAAAAGUAUGCAUUUAAAACUUUAAUAGUGUUGGAAAGAAAUACACAUACAUUGUCUUCUUUUUCUUU